GGACAGUCGUGUGGAAGUGAGCGAAGCAUUACGAGGGCUGUGGGUCAACUACGGCUGUUCCACUGUCUUCGUUCCCGCCCCUCCGUUUGUUGCAGACGCCGGGUCGUUGUCAGAGGUCUGUGCAGAAGAAUGGGUGGAAUCUGCCUUCGGAUCGGUGGGAUUGAAACAAACUUUCUCUUUCCUGAUCAAUACACCUGAUUCUCUAAAACCGGUAACAAACACAGGCUAACAGUUUAAACCUUGAACAAUCACAAAGAGAAUAUUACGUACCACGUCACCUUAGAGUAUAAUGUACAUUACAAUGUAUUCGGGACUGUAAUGAGGAAGAUGGUGAACAUGUGAACCAUUAAAUGAUAGAAAAGCAUGGCCUAUGAUUUUCAUGUUGGACCAUAAUAGUCUAAUCGCAGUGUCGUCUAGCGUUAAUGUUUUAUUUCUUGGUUUAUUUAACAACGUUUCAACAGAUGAUCGUAUUAUAUAGUCAAUAUGAGUAAUCAGAGGAUGAUUAUGAAUAUUAAUUGAUAAUAGUGUGGGUAGGAGUGUCGAUCAUUUGACUGGAUGGUCAAGAUAUUUUGAAAUGGAUUUUAUUGGCUCUACAUACGAUCCAAUAAUGUUUCGCGGUGAUGGUGAUGAACAUGCGUUUCCAUAACAACAGAUAACUACAUUAUAAUCGAAUGCUAAGGGAGGACUUAAUAGUGAUUAUAUCUUAAAAAUGCUGGAACAACACUUUAAACUGUGUCAAUACUGCCCCUGUUUUAAAAUUCAUAUGAAUUCAUAAGAUUAAAUUCAAGCUAGUGAAAGUAAACUUACUUCUGAAAUCUCCGACAUUCACACAAAUGCUAUUAUUUGUUGUUCAUUUUGCAUCCACCUCUUACAUAAAUUUUAUUCUGUGUUACUUGCCCUUUAAAUUCCAAAAUCUUAUCGCCAGAGUAGUCAAUAAAUUGACAGCAAUGUCUUUAGAGUUCUUUCUACUAAUGAGAUUUUGCAUGCUAAUAGCCUGUACAAAACAAAACCACAUCGUAAGUCAAAAACAUUUAUCUCCUCAUUUAUUUAACCUGCCCAGCUUGAAACUACAGGUUUAGCCUCUCUUACUAAGCAUUAACAGCUUGUCGUUCUAAAGAGUUGCUAUAUCUUCAAAUAGCAAUGUUAAAAUGAUACUUUUAUCAUUAGGGAUAAAUCAACCCACGUUCUAAGUUAUUUUUAACAGAACUGAGAUGUACGAUGGAAGUAAAGUAAAACACGUACAUUAAGAAGUAAUGUACAGUCCUUGUGUUGAAGCAUGUUAAAGUAUGUAGAACACAAAUAUUGCAUCUCGUUUUGAAGUGCAAUUCUGUUCGUAUGAUACGGAGUUCAGUUAAAACGUGUCUGGGUCAUUUUAUGUGUUAACAAGUUGUCACUUGAAAUUUAUAGCUGCUUGUAUUUUUCUCAAACUACAUAGAUAUGAGUAGUUUUUAUACAUAACAACAUUUGAAACGUGAAAUAUACAGAGUCCUUCACAGCUGCAUGCCAAAAGUAUAUCUACGUAUUAUAUCCUAAACAGGAAAGCAAUGUAUAUAUGCCUAUAUAGGACUUAAUGACUUAGUUAUGAAAGUACCCGAUCUCAUUUUAAGAAACUGUGUAAUACUAACAACCAAUAAGAAGACUUCUUAUUUUGAUAAACUAAUGGGAUUUGUAGCCUGUAGGCACGCUGAACGCUACGGGGCAUUGCACAUUACAAAGGCAAAAAUACACGGGAAUAGCUGUGGAUUGUGUACAUCGUGUUGAACAUGCCGUGUUGGAUGUAAAGCUUGCAAUGAAAACAAUGAUGACCAUAAUCAACAAUUAAUGCACUUAUCUGUGACUAUUAUACAUUACUAAAUUAUUAAAUAUGCCUAGGCUUUUCUUAACUACCUAUUUUAAGCUGUAGGAAAAUUGAGGCAGUUAGAUCCCAUGAGACUAGCGCUUACUUACUGCACGCACAAAAAUACCAGAAUUCAUUAACGAGUCGUGAAGAGAUUGUCCCAACAGAACACAGUAGGCUACCGGAGGUGAAUGUAGCUCGAUGGCGUGCGUCCUAUUUUCCUCGAUUAGGCGAUAAUAAAAUAAACUAAUGGAUUUUUGCGGUCAGUGAUCAUAGGUGGUAAUUGCUUGUUGACGGGAGUCGUGUAGUUUCAUUAAAGCGUUGCUACUUUCAGCUACGUGCAACCAGGAAUACAAACAAAAAUGAAGAUAACUUACAACCAAUAACAGCUAAUUCAGAGCAAAAUAUUUCUAGAGAAGCGAAGAGUCAUUCAGAUAUUUAAGACGUUCACCGCCUUUUAUGUAAUUAAAAUGCUCAUUACCGUGUUCACUGGAGCCCGCCACUGGGUUCUAUCCCACCAGUCUAUAUAGUCAGAUCUUUUUCUGUAAGAUUAUUAUUAUCCCAUCUAUUCACCACU